UGUUGUGUAGUGGUCUGAACACUAGACUAGGAGUCUGGAGACCAAGGUUCAAAUCCCUGCUCAGCAA